ensembl:lncRNA
CCAAGUGUGUGUGUGGCCCCCAGGAGACAGGCACCGAAUACUCAGGCAGCACUAUCGCCAACAGGCAGCGACUGGCAACUAUUUCAGCGCCUCUCCACAGCUCCAAGAAUAAGUCACUAUGGAGUAAUUGUACAUGAUUAUCCUGCAAACGUGAGCCCGAACAAACCUUGCUGCACACGGCCCCGGGGGUGAUUCUCACCCUCGUCACACUGAGCCAGGCAUUAGCACACCUACUCAGACAGAUGACCCGGAUCUGCACCCAUGCGGGUGUCCGGCUAUGUCGACCUGCCUGAGCUGGGCCCACUUUUCGCUGAGUGGCCCCAGGUUGUCGUGGCGGAAAGAGGGGCGUGCAGUUGAUCUGGAAGGGAGAGGGGAGCGGCCGCAACACGCCCCCCUCGGGUGCCCCAAGUGCCCCCGGUGCACCUUGUCCCCCUCUCCUUCCUGCUCGCCUGCCUCGCGGACCGCCAGUGACCCCUGGACCGCCACCGUAGAAGCAGCUCGCAUCCAUCGAGGGACCAGGUUCCAGCCAGUGAACACACGUGCCAGCCUGCUUUCCAAGCACUGAAAUUCCACAAAGAACACUAGUCACACCAUCACUGAGCAUCACAGGGAUGUGGAGAACAGCGGAAGAAGCAGCCUGAUAAAAGUUAUUUUGGUGGAGCCAGGCUUGCCAGAGAAGACGGAGAUAAGAUCACAGGCCUCCGUUCACUGCCAGAUAGCCUGUUAGGGCUCUGAGGACAAGCCAGACUCCGAUGGUCUGCAGUGAUUUGUCUCAAACCCGAGGAGAAGCUCAAGAUGCUGGAAGACUGGCUUGGGACAUGGAGUGGCCAGCUGGGCCCGGUUGACCUGGGGAUGUCCUGCUUUUAGCAGCCACAGGGCAACCCCAGGAACCUCCUUAAACCCUGGAGAAGCAAGCUGAGCUUUGUAGGCUCUGGGGGCGUUAGGCAAAGUGGGUACCUUUCUGCGGACCUAGCCACG